rnacentral:rRNA from 1 species
UCUUGGUCAUUUAGAGGAAGUAAAAGUCGUAACAAGGUUUCCGUAGGUGAACCUGCGGAAGGAUCAUUAUUGAAUUAGCGAGGGCUGUCUGCUGGCCCCUUCGGGGGCAUGUGCACGUCCGAGCCGUUUAAAUCAACACCUGUGAACUCACCGUAGGCCUUCGGGCUUAUGUAUCAUAAUAUACUCAGAUCAUAGAAUGUAUGUUUUGCCUUUAAAAAAGCAAUCAAAUACAACUUUCAACAACGGAUCUCUUGGCUCUCGCAUCGAUGAAGAACGCAGCGAAAUGCGAUAAGUAAUGUGAAUUGCAGAUUUUCAGUGAAUCAUCGAAUCUUUGAACGCACCUUGCGCUCCUUGGUAUUCCGAGGAGCAUGCCUGUUUGAGUGUCAUUAAAUCCUCAACCCCGUCGGUUGGUCGGGGCUUGGACUUUGGAGUGUGCUGGCGAAGGUCGGCUCCUCUUUAAAUGCAUCAGUGGAGAAAAACCUUUUUCCCCCUUCAGCGUGAUAACUGCGUUGCGCUGUGGUCAUGAAAGGGUCCGCUCAUAAUCGUCCUCUGGGACAAACACCAAAUCUGUUUUGACCUCAGAUCAGGUAGGACUACCCGCUGAACUUAAGCAUAUCAAUAA